UACAGAGGUCCCAAGCGUUGUUCGGAUUCACUGGGCGUAAAGGGUGCGUAGGUGGCCAGGUAAGUUCGGUGUGAAAGCUCGGAGCUUAACUCCGAAAUGGCAUUGAAUACUAUCUGGCUAGAGGGUCGGAGGGGAGACUGGAAUUCCUGGUGUAGCGGUGAAAUGCGCAGAUAUCAGGAGGAACACCAAUGGCGAAGGCAGCUCGCUGGGACGGUACUGACGCUGAGGCGCGAAAGCGUGGGGAGCGAACAGG
rnacentral:rRNA from 1 species